rnacentral:tRNA from 1 species
GGGCGUGUAGCGCAGCUUGGAUAGCGCGAAGCACUCCUAAAAACUUUUUGGGAAAAAGCACAAAGAAACUACGUUUCUUGUGCACUAGGAAAAAAGUCCUUUGCGUUUUAUCAAAAAUAGUUGCAAGCAGUAUUUUCCUAAAGAAAGGUUUUGAGAGAUGCUUAGGUCGGGGGUUCAAAUCCUCCCACGCCCG